rnacentral:lncRNA from 1 species
CACAUUCAACCAUUUUGUUUUUAGCAAGCAUUUCAUUUUGCAAGUUUUCAACACCAGCUUCUUGCGUAAUCAACGAUCCGAAAAGGUAAUUUUUAUAAAAUAUGUGAUAAAAAUAAAUUUAGAAUGUAUUUAUGAUAUAAAAAAUAUGUAGUUUAACAUACUAUUAUGUUAAAAAAGUAACUGAAACUUAAGUCUAUAGCGUUAAGUUCUUAUGUGAUAGAAAAAUUUGAAGUUGGAAAAGUUGUAGUAGAAUCAUAUUAACUUGUUUAAUUUGUUUUAUUUUAAAGGUUUUUUUUUUGUUAACUGAAAAUUGCGGUUACUGAGCAGCGCGGAGUACCUUGGAGUGUCCGCGCAGCGCGGAGUGCCUCGAAAGGAAGCACUCCGUGCUGUGCUUCAAAAAGAAGCAACGCGUUGCACUCCGCACAGCGCGAAGUCAGACUUCACGCAGCGCGACUUUUUGUUUUUAUUUUUUUAGAUGAUGUUCAGUGUCAAAUAUUUUUUUAUCUUUUAUUUUUUUUAUUAGGUGAUUUAUUUAAGUUUUUUUACACCCAUUUCGCACUAACACUUCAUCCCAAAUCCCACCUCAAUAUUUACUAAAUAUAUAUCAAUUCCUAACUGUUUAAUUUUAUGAAUAACUUUAUAAUAUUCCACAAAAACUAUUAUAAUCUUAUCCACAACCAUCACAAUUUUUUACAUUUUUCCUUUAUCUAAGUACUUUAAUUUGUACUUAUUGAAUAUAUACUUUUUUAUAUAUAUCCUUUUUCCAAGUCAAAUAAUCAAUUACAUUUAGAUAAAUCAAUUUAACAAGACAUUUAUAUGAACAUAUUUAAAUUAUUCAAAGCAUCAAAUAAUCUAUCAAAUGUGAUCUAUAUUUGAUUACAAGAAUCAUGUAUCAACAAAUUUAAAUUCAAACUUUAAUAUUUCAAUAUCAACAAAAUAAUUUAAAUACUAGGAUUUUUUUUUUUUUGGGUAAAAAAUAGUUCAAUUUCAUUUUAAUCACAACUUUUAUUCUUUCUAACUAUGCAUCAUUAGGCCAACUUCUACUACCAAAAAUAGAUAUUGUUCAACACGGUGAGGGAGAAAUAAAAUACAAACAUAACAAUGUGCUGACAAAUCAUCACUAUUAAUUUUACAAUAAUACUCUGUACGUAGUAAUAUUGAACAUCAGUUUAAAUUUUAACAUGUUAUGGGUCAUAUUAAAUCAACCAUAAUUUAUUAUAUUUAAUUGCACUUAUAAUACAAUAAUACUCUGUAUCGUAGUAAUAUUGAACAUUAGUUUAAUAGUAAUAUUGCACAUCAGUUUAAAUUUCAACAUGUUACGGGUCAUAUUAAACUGACCAUAAUUCAUUGUAUUUAAUUGCACUUAUAAUUUAAUGUUAUUAGCUAUUAGUGCUUCAUCUAAACUAAUUUUUUGCACAUCCUAAAUUUCAUCCACAUAUAAUGUGUUGUUGGAUGCGUCUUAGGUCUAAAUAAGCCCUACAAGACUCGAAGCUCUGAUGAGAAAGUAAUUCCAUAGCCAUAUAUUUAACAUAUGAGUUAUACUCUAACUUAGUUUUCUUUAUUUAUAAUUCUUUGUAGGAUUGUCUUUGACAUAUAUAAAAGAGCAGAAAAGUCAAUCAUAAAAAAACUGUUUAGGAAAAUUCCUCUAUUUGUUCCUAAGGUAACAUUCCUCACACUUAUUCUUGUUAUUAUGUUUAUUCUAUGUGCUUAAUUGUAUAAGUUGAACAAAUAUUUUUUACCUUUCUCAUUAGAUAAAUGGUGAUGAAUAUUGUUUUUCAUUAAAUAAAUGGUGAUCAAUGUUGUUUGAGCAAACAUAUUAGGCAAAAUAUAAAAUGAAGACGUGUUUAAAAGUUUGUUAGUACCUAUUUCUAAGUUGGUGUCUAAAUAAGAAAAUUAUAGUUUGAGUAGACAAGAACUGGUUUCUUAUUGUAGAGUAGUUAAACAAAAUAUUCAAUGCUAAAGUUCUUUAUUAUCAAGUAUAUGUGAUUCCUAUCAUAUACCUCUUUAUGUUUUGCAGAUGUCGUUAGAAUACAUAUUAUCUCCAAAUCAAUGAUUUUAUGCUACCAUUACUUAAUUUGUGAAUCAUCAAUAUCUUUAAGAUUUUGUAGAAUUUAUAGAUGGAGACGAUCAAGCUUCUUUAUUAUGCAGUCACUUUCAAGGAUUUAUCUAUGGAAGUACGUAUAAUGAACAAAACGAAAAAUUUAG